rnacentral:rRNA from 1 species
GAAUCAAGGCUUAUGGUGGAUGCCUAGGUAGUUUGAGUCGAGGAAGGACGUGUGUAUGGACACGAUAUCGUCGGUGAGUCUCCUAACAGACAUUUCAACCGGUGGUUUCCGAAUGGGGUAACCCCUCUUGAUGUAAAUCAAGAGACCCGCUCAGAGCGCUUGCUCUUUUGAGCGGGGGAUAACCCGGUGAACUGAAACAUCUCAGUAACCGGAGGAAAAGAAAACAAUAUUUCCGCUUGGCAACAAGCGGGAGAGUGAUUCCGUCAGUAGCGGCGAGCGAACGCGGAGAAGCCUAAACCUACUUGUGCUUUGCACAAGGCGUUACACAUAUAAACGUACAACGUAUCACGUUUUUAAAAACGUGAAACUUGGAACGUGAAACUUGGAACGUGAAACUUGGAACGUCUCGCGCAGGGCGCGAGUGGGGGUUGCGGGAGUCUGCAUACCUCUGCUUCUUUUUAAAAGAACGUUUUGGAAAAAACGGCCAUAGAUGGUGACAGCCCAGUAUUUGAAAAGAAGAAGUAGAGAGCGGAAUUUCCCAAGUACCACGGAACACGGUAACUCUGUGGGAAUCCGGGGCGGUCAUGCUCCAAGGCUAAAUACUCAAACUGACCGAUAGUGAACUAGUACCGUGAGGGAAAGGUGAAAAGUCCCCCGGCGAGGGGAGUGAAAUAGUACCUGAAACCAUAAGCUGUCAAACAGACAGAGCUUGUGCUUUGCACAAGGCGUUACACAUAUAAACGUACAACGUAUCACGUUUUUAAAAACGUGAAACUUGGAACGUGAAACUUGGAACGUGAAACUUGGAACGUCUCGCGCAGGGCGCGAGUGAUGUCGUGCCUAUUGAAGAAUGAGCCAGCGAGUAUUUUGCGUUAUGCAAGUCUAACCCCGAUAAAUCGGGGGGAGGCGUAGGGAAACCAAGUCUGAAUAGGGCGAACAAUCAAGCAUACGUUUAAUGACCCGAAACUGAGUGAGCUAACCAUGGACAGGGUGAACCCCGAUGAUAAAUCGGGGGGAGGCCCGAACCCGUAGUCGGUGAAAUGACUUGGGACGAUCUGUGGUUAGUGGUAAUAUGCCAAUCGAACUCAGAGAUAGCUGGUUCUCCCCGAAAUAUAUUUAGGUAUAGCCUUCAGUUAAGUCUUUGCGGGGUAGAGCGACUGGAUAGGCUGUCAAGGCUUUGCCGAGGCAGCCCAACCAAACUCCGAAUACGCAAAGUUUUUUUCUGGGGAGUCAGACCGGCUCGGAUAAGCGAGUCUGGUCGAGAGGAAAAGAGUCCGGACUUCCAUCUAAGGUCUCUAAAUGACUGUUAAGUGGGAAAGGAAGUAGAAUCACAAAGACAGACGGGAAGUUGGCUCAGAAGCAGCCACCUUUUAAAGAACGCGUAACAGCGCACCGUAAUAACCCGCUUGAGAGCGUAAGUUUUUGAGCGGGAUGUGAUUUUGCGCCGAAAAUGAUCGAGGCUAAAACAGUCUACCGACGAUGAAGCCCGCUCAGAGCGCAAGCUAUUGAGCGGGGGUAGGGGAGCGUUCCUUUUGCAGUGAAGCUACGUCGUAAGGCGGGGUGGAGCGGAAGGAAGUGAGAAUGCUGGCAUGAGUAACGAUUCUCUUUGUGAAAAACAAAGACGCCGAAAGUCCAAGGUUUCCUGCGCAACGUAAAUCGACGCAGGGUAAGUCGGAUCUAAGGGCGCGUCCCGAAGGGGCCGUCUCGAUGUAUAAGCAGUUAAUAUUCUGCUACUCACUAAGUGUGCGUUAGACACUUUACUGAUGACGAAGUAUGCAAAAUCACUGUUCUCUAUAUGGUAACAGUAGUCGUGCGUGUUUCCAGGAAAAGUCAGUUAAUAGGAGUGCAUUUAGUAUCCGUACCGCAAACCGACACAGGUGGACAGGUCGAGUAGACCAAGGCGAUCGAGUAAGGAUGGUUUAAGGAACUCGGCAAAAAAGCUGGGCGUAAGUUAUACGAUAUGCCCUACCCCGCUUAACCGCGGGGUCACAGCAAAAGUUUUCUAACCGACUGUUUAGCAAAAACACAGGUUCCUGCAAAUCCGUAAGGAGAAGUAUAGGAGCUGAGGCCUGACCAGUGCCCGUAAGUCAAGAACUGAGGUUGAUCUUGUCCUUCGGACAAGGCGUUACACGUAUAAACGUACAACGUAUCACGUUUUUAAAAACGUGAAACUUGGAACGUGAAACUUGGAACGUCUCGUCCGGAGGACGAGCUAGGUUUUGGUUCAAGCUCGGGUGAACGUCAGCUCUAACCCUGAGAGUUCUAAGGUAGCGUAGUCCCUUGCCGGGUAAGUUCCGGCCCGCACGAAAGGUGUAACGAGUUAGAAACUGUCUCGAACCAUUGCUCGGUGAAAUUGAAAUGGCUGUGAAGAUGCGGCCUACCUGCACUUGGACAAGAAGACCCCGGGAGCUUUACUGAAGCUUGAUAUUGGCAAGGAGCAUUUGAUUGUUUAGCGUAGGAGGGACCACGUUCAUGCGCGCAAGCGCACUGAACGUGGACCAAUGAAACACCUCUCUUCGAAUGUUUUGAGUCUUACCCUGCAAUAGCGGGGGAUAGUGUUAGGCGGUCAGUUUAACUGGGGCGGUUUUCUCCAAAAGCGUAACGGAGAAGCGCAAAGGUUGGCUUAUUCCGUAUGGAAAUCGGAAUUUAAUGUGUAAACGCAAAAGCCAGCUUGACUGUGAGGGUGACAUCCCAAGCAGGUUCGAAAGAAGGCGUUAGUGAUCCCCCGAUGGCCUAUGAUUGGCCGCGGGGCUUAACGGAUAAAAGCUACCCCGGGGAUACACACCUGUGUCCCGAUUCUAUGGUAACAUAGAAUCUAGCAUACGGCUAAUAACGGUGAAGCCCUCCUACUUUGUGGUUUUGGUCUUGCCACAGCGAGAGAGUAGAGGGUAAUACCGUGGGAAGUUGGAGAUAUAUGACAAAAAAACAAAAAGACGUAUUAAUUGGAAUGAUACUUGGAGAUGCAUAUUUGCAAAAAACUGGUGAAAAAAAUUCAAGAUUGAGGCUUGAACACACUACCAAUCAAAAAGAAUAUUUAGAAUGGAAAGUGAAUUAUCUUAAAAAUUAUUUUCAAAAUAAAGCUCAAGAUAUAACUCGCUUCAAUCCUGUUUGGAAAAAAACAUAUAAUUAUGUGCGGAUUCAAUCGUAUUCCAGUCCGGAAUUUGGGAAAUUUCAAAGGCUAUUUUAUAGUCAGUCAAAAAAAAUUAUUCCUGACACAAUUAGUACACUUUUAAAAAGUCCAAUAUCAAUCGCAGUUUGGUUUAUGGAUGAUGGUUAUUAUUAUCAUCGCGAUAAUAUGGCUUAUAUUUAUAUUCCAAAUUAUGAUAAGCAAAGCUUGCAAUACUUGAUGGACGCCCUAAGAAGUAAUUUUGAUCUUACCGCGGCUCUUAAGAAGAAAAGCAAAGGACUUGUUUUAACUUUUAAUGUCAAUGAAACAAAAAAAUUGAUGGAGAUAAUUAGUGAAUAUGUUAUUCCAUCAAUGAAAUAUAAAAUAUCUCUUAACCCCGUAUCGACUGAAUGAAAUCCCGAUCAAAUCGGGAAAGUAAUGAGAUAGUCAAUAUAUAAAUGAUUAUCAUACGCCGUACCCCCGCCUAUAGGCGGGGUGAAGAUAUAGUCAGUGCAACAAGAAAUUGUUGAUUAUGAUAUAACGUUUGUUAUAUUCAUGAACAGGCUAGUCUCCCCUGAGAGUUCAUAUUGACGGGGAGGUUCGGCACCUUAUGAGUCGAAUCAAGGGGUGCCUAGAGUGGUAACACUCUACAAAAACAAGUGGCUUAUAACGGUGAACUCCAUAUAUAAUUAUGUAUGGACAAUACCGUGGGAAGUCUAACUCAAGCUAAAAUGUCUUUAUAUUUAGUCUCUUUUCAUCAAGGGACGCUUGUGUUAUGACCCCGUAGAGACUUUCUAUAUAACAUAUAGAAGAAUCCAAAGAAACUGGAUUAAUACGCCAACUCCAAUGCUAGAAAUCAUUGGAUGAAGAUAUAGUCCGAUCCCAUUAGUAAUAGUGGUAACCAUUUGCGAUGUCGGCUCAUCGCAUCCUGGGGCUGUAGUAGGUCCCAAGGGUUGGUCUGUUCGCCCAUUAAAGCGGUACGCGAGCUGGGUUCAGAGCGUCGUGAGACAGCUUGUAACGUCCAGAACUGUCUCAUCUCUUCGACACUUUAGAACGUGUUGAUUUAGUCUAUGUUAUUCCAUGGUCUUCUUGAAAAACAAAAAUAAGAGAAUAUAAAUCUGGCUAUAUGCUGGGAUCUCCUGACAACUGCAGACUACUCGCUCCGACAUUCCGUCGGGACAGUGAAAAUGCCUGUAGGUUUUCCCUACGCGGGGAAAGCAGGACAAUCAGCAGGAAAGGCUCCGCUUCGGCGGAGAAUCCUCACAGACUAUACGCCAGACGCCCCGCUAAAGGCAGGGUAAAGAUAUAGUCGAUAAAUGUCGGACUCUAUCCAGUGCAGGCGUUUGGAUUCUUGAAGGGGCUCUCUUCUAGUACGAGAGGACCGAAGAGAGGGAAUCCCUGGUGUACCAGUUGUCCCAAAAGGGCAUCGCUGGGUAGCUAUAUUCCCACGUGAUAAGUACUGAAAGCAUCUCAAGUACGAAGCACACCCUAAGAUGAGGAAUCCCUAUAGCUCCCCGCAAGAUCAGCGGGUUGAUAGGCGCUAGGUGUAAGCCCCGUAAGGGGUUUAGCCGAUGCGUACUAAUGAGCGAUUCCAAUGUCUU